CCGCGCGUAGCUCAGCGGACAGAGCGGCCGUCUCCUACACGGCAGGUCCCCGGUUCGAGGCCGGGCGCGCGGACCA
rnacentral:tRNA from 1 species